UCCGUAGGUGAACCUGCGGAGGGAUCAUUACCGAGUUUACAACUCCCAAACCCAAUGUGAACGUUACCAAACUGUUGCCUCGGCGGGAUCUUCUGCCCCGGGUGCGUCGCAGCCCCGGACCAAGGCGCCCGCCGGAGGACCAACUCCAAAACUCUUUUGUAUACCCCCUCGCGGGUUUUUUUAUAUCUGAGCCAUCUCGGCGCCUCUCGUAGGCGUUUCGAAAAUGAAUCAAAACUUUCAACAACGGAUCUCUUGGUUCUGGCAUCGAUGAAGAACGCAGCGAAAUGCGAUAAGUAAUGUGAAUUGCAGAAUUCAGUGAAUCAUCGAAUCUUUGAACGCACAUUGCGCCCGCCAGUAUUCUGGCGGGCAUGCCUGUCCGAGCGUCAUUUCAACCCUCGAACCCCUCCGGGGGGUCGGCGUUGGGGAUCGGCCCUUUCACGGGGGCCGGCCCCGAAAUACAGUGGCGGUCUCGCCGCAGCCUCUCCUGCGCAGUAGUUUGCACACUCGCAUCGGGAGCGCGGCGCGUCCAAUGCCGUAAAACACCCAACUUUCUGAAAUGUUGACCUCGGAUCAGGUAGGAAUACCCGCUGAACUUAAGCAUAUCAAUAAGCGGAGGA
rnacentral:rRNA from 1 species